CCCCCCCCCCCACACGUUGAUGCAGAACUUAGACUGCUUGACUUUUCGUGGGAUUGCGGAAUAUGGUCUCACAUCGGCAUUGGUGAUCAAACAUCUGCGUCGAAGGGUAACAUUCCAGUUGCUGGAUCUAAUGCAUCUAAGAAUGUCAAUCUGUGUAAGACGUGCAGACAUCAUGGGGGGAUGCUAGAUCCGCCUGGCUCCCUGUAUGCCAACUGCGAGCCUUGCUAAAUAUUUGUUUGCCUUGAUUCAUAGCUGGCGUUCAGGGAGUCAAGCAGACCUUGCGUCUUGCCAUGGUCUGCGGUGUACAAUAGCAUCCGAGCCAGGUAGACUAUCAGUUUUACCAUAACCUGCUCUGCCCUAUCCCACACACAGAUGGAAGUAUUGAGUUGGAAACUACUUCCUUGAAGGUCAAAACAGACCUGCUUCAGAGCACUGACAUUGCUACAUUCCCACUUCAAACUAGCAAACGCAGCCAGGUAAUUACAAUAUCGAAGAACACGAUGUUUCAAUCCUUGAAUGAAAUCCACGAGGCAAGUCCAAACCUGAUCAUGAAUGCAGGAAGAGUGAAGGUCUAGAAAUUGGGGGAUAUUGGAUCCGCCUGGCUCCCUGCAUGCCACUUGCGAAUCUUGCCAAACGUUUUGUCGGGGUUCAUGGCUGGCGUGUGGGGGGUCAGACAGGCCAUACAUCUCAUCAAGUUUUGAGUCACUUAGUGAUCGUGAAUGUUAACGUCAUUGUCAAAUACGCAUCUAUAGUCGAAUAAGUAGUUCUACCCUGACGUGUUUUAUCAAUGUAUAGCUUGCUGGGGGCUUGAUGCUUGCAGAGGCUUUUCUCUUCAGAUAAUGUUCCUUCAUGACAAAAGACAGAUAAAAGGACAGCUACAGGAAAGACCAAUCAACCAGCAGCUACUCGGAAGAAACUAUCAACGAAGCAGCCAUUACCAAUGUAGCUGGAAGACCGUAGUAAAGAAAUAGAAAGACUGGAUCGAUCUGGCUCCCUGUAUGUCAGCUGCAAACCUUGCCAAUCGCUUUGCCAGAAUUCAUACCCUGCGUCAAGGUAGUCAAGCAGACAUAAUGUCUUGGUACAAUAUUCCGGGUCUAAUUCACGGUUUCAUACAGUUCACCUACUGAUUCCUUCUAAGAUUUGAUCACGUAGUUAAGCAUCUGAACAGGAGGCCUGUUGAGACAUUUGUCGUCGACUAGUAAAUCGGUCCUUCUGAAACGGGUCUGCAGACCAACUAUGAUAAUGAAUGUAGGAAACCCAGUGCAGAAAGUAGGGAUGUUGGAUCUGCCUGGCUCCCUGGAUGCCACCUGCGAACCUUGCGAAUAGUUUCGACAGGAUUCAGUGCACUGAUGCUCAAAGGCUACGUAAUACGUCUAGUUCGUGGCGUAUUGCGAAAGAAUAGUUGGUGCACCAAGUGUUUGUUUUUGUAAAGAACUCUCUUUGAUAUGACUUCGGGUUUUCUACAAA